rnacentral:rRNA from 1 species
GAUGAACGCUAGCUACAGGCUUAACACAUGCAAGUCGAGGGGAAACGACAUCGAAAGCUUGCUUUUGAUGGGCGUCGACCGGCGCACGGGUGAGUAACGCGUAUCCAACCUGCCCACCACUUGGGGAUAACCUUGCGAAAGUAAGACUAAUACCCAAUGAUAUCUCUAGAAGACAUCUGAAAGAGAUUAAAGAUUUAUCGGUGAUGGAUGGGGAUGCGUAUGAUUAGCUUGUUGGCGGGGUAACGGCCCACCAAGGCUACGAGCAGUAGGGGUUCUGAGAGGAAGGUCCCCCACAUUGGAACUGAGACACGGUCCAAACUCCUACGGGAGGCAGCAGUGAGGAAUAUUGGUCAAUGGGCGUUAGCCUGAACCAGCCAAGUAGCGUGAAGGAUGAAGGCUCUAUGGGUCGUAAACUUCUUUUAUAUAAGAAUAAAGUGCAGUAUGUAUACUGUUUUGUAUGUAUUAUAUGAAUAAGGAUCGGCUAACUCCGUGCCAGCCGCCGCCGUAA